AUGUGUAGUGCACAGCAAGUUCAGGCUAUAUCCAAGUUGACAGAUGUUACACCUACAAGACUGUGUGUGUUCAAUCUUGAGUGCGACAACAAACUAGCUAUGCCAGGUCCUACACAGGUGGGUGGCAAAGUGCGUGUAGAGGGGUGUCACCACCAUGACACCUAUCUCUCACUCCUUGACCGUGUUAUACUCCUCGUUGUUUGCUGUGAGUUGGCGUCUCAGUCUGUCGCCUUGGCUGUUGCGCUCUUGCCAGUACACACCAACCAUCAUCAUAUAGGGUGUAUCAUCAAGAUAAACUAA
rnacentral:rRNA from 1 species